GUAGGUGGCAAGCGUUGUCCGGAAUUAUUGGGCGUAAAGCGCGCGCAGGCGGUUCUUUAAGUCUGAUGUGAAAGCCCACGGCUCAACCGUGGAGGGUCAUUGGAAACUGGAGAACUUGAGUACAGAAGAGGAAAGCGGAAUUCCACGUGUAGCGGUGAAAUGCGUAGAGAUGUGGAGGAACACCAGUGGCGAAGGCGGCUUUCUGGUCUGUAACUGGCGCUGAGGCGCGAAAGCGUGGGGAGCAAACAGGAUUAGAUACCCUGGUAGUCCACGCCGUAAACGAUGAGUGCUAAGUGUUAGGGGGUUUUCCGCCCCCCUUAGUGCUGCAGCUAACGCAUUAAGCACUCCGGCCUGGGAGUACGGCCGCAAGGCUG
rnacentral:rRNA from 1 species